rnacentral:rRNA from 1 species
AUUGAACGCUGGCGGUAUGCUUAACACAUGCAAGUCGAACGGUAACAGGCCUUCGGGCGCUGACGAGUGGCGGACGGGUGAGUAACGCGUAGGAAUCUGCCUCAUAGUGGGGGACAACGCGGGGAAACUCACGCUAAUACCGCAUACGCCCUACGGGGGAAAGCGGGGGAUCUUCGGACCUCGCGCUAUGAGAUGAGCCUGCGUUAGAUUAGCUAGUUGGUAGGGUAAAGGCCUACCAAGGCGACGAUCUAUAGCUGGUCUGAGAGGACGAUCAGCCACACUGGGACUGAGACACGGCCCAGACUCCUACGGGAGGCAGCAGUGGGGAAUAUUGGACAAUGGGCGCAAGCCUGAUCCAGCAAUACCGCGUGUGUGAAGAAGGCCCUAGGGUUGUAAAGCACUUUCAAUUGGGAGGAAAACCUGCCGGUCAAUACCCGGCAGCUUGACAUUACCUUUAGAAGAAGCACCGGCUAACUCCGUG